UACAGAGGUCCCGAGCGUUGUUCGGAUUCACUGGGCGUAAAGGGUGCGUAGGUGGCUUGAAAAGUUUGAUGUGAAAGCUCAGGGCUUAACCCUGAAAUGGCAUUGAAUACUGUCGGGCUGGAGGUUUGGAGGAGGGACUGGAAUUCUUGGUGUAGCAGUGAAAUGCGUAGAUAUCAAGAGGAACACCUGAGGUGAAGACGGGUUGCUGGGCCGACACUGACGCUGAGGAGCGAAAGCGUGGGGAGCAAACAGG
rnacentral:rRNA from 1 species